rnacentral:lncRNA from 1 species
CGCAAGGAUCCUCAUGGGGAGAAAAGGGAAUUCCAGGACACUCCCUACGAGAUGACAGGUGCCCCUGCUCAGUGUGAAGGGCCAGAUCAGGCCCAGUUCAUGGGGAACAGGGCACCCUUUCAGUUUGGAGGCCAGAGGCGGCCACUGCUAACUCAGAUAAAAGGGCCCCGUGGAGGACCUCCACCCUCUCAGUUUGGAGGCCAAAGGGGACCACCUCCUGGUCAUUUUGUCGGCCCACGUGGGCCCCACCCUAGUCAGUUUGAAACUUCACGGGGCACUCACCCUGGCCAGUUUGAAGGGGCCAGAGGCCAAGCACCAGGUUUCAUGCCAGGCCCCCGGGGCGUUCAGCCCCAGCAAUUUGAAGAGCAGAGAGUGAACUCACCACCAAGGUUUGCGGGCCAGAGGGCAUCAGCACCCCUGCCAUAUGGA